rnacentral:lncRNA from 1 species
UCUCUUUGCUUCUCUUGCAGCACCAAUGUUUACACCUUCCCCCUACUUAUGCGAUAUUUAUUUUGUAACACAAAACAAACAUAUAUUCCUUUUGUACCCAAUUGCAAUGAUCAGUAGCAAGCAGUUUACAUCCCACAACAAGCGCAAUCACAAAACUAAACUGAAAGCCCCGAGAUGAAUAAAUCCAUAAAUAAAAAAUUUCAAGCGGCGAUUUUUCUUUCCAGAAAAGAAAGAGGACUACGGCAACAUUCAAAAUUAGUCCAUCAACUGGGUGCUGUACAAAAUAUGGCAGAUGAGAUGAAUACACCUGCAAAUAAGAUGGGGACAUAAGGUAUGAGCUUACUGAAAUACUAAUGCUGCAAACAACAAGUAUACAAAUUUGCUAUACAUAAAAGUUCAGCACUACAGGCAAAACAAUGCAUAGAAAUCUAGAGAAUGCUUACCUUAAUUUAAACACAAAUCUUUCAAAAUAAUCAAGAAAUAAAGUUGAACCAAUGUGACAAGUCGAGUGAUAUGUAUCUGAGAAUAAAAGGACUGGUAUUCAAAUAAUAAAAGUACGGCCACUAAACCUGCCACAAUAUCCAUCACUUACAUACCACAAACUGUACAAACAUAAGCAUACUACUUUCAUCUAGGAGCUAAUGUAAUAGAGAAAGACAGAUAAAUACAAUAGUUGGCAUGUUGGGAGUUCAUGGAAUCGAGAGUGUAACUACAUUGAACCCAGGGACAGCCACACAUUCAAUAGCUGACAAACAGGAGCAGAAAAACCAAGAGACAAAUCAAAUCAGGCUAAAAAAAGAAUAUUUUCAGUGAAGCUAGUUUACCUAAGGGGGGUUCGUAGGCUGGUGCCAUUGCCUUUAUGAAUAAUUUAGCAUUACUUGUGGUCAUCACUAGAAUGAAGCAAGAACAGAUGCUGCCAAUCACCCUGGUGCAUCAGCUGCAGAAAACCCGAAUCUAGAUACCUGUAUUGAACACCAUAUGCACUUCCUGACUCAUGGCAAGUUUUCAGGAAGAAGACCACCAUCAUAGCUAAGCUAAGCUAAGCUUAGUCACGGUGAUAGUAAACCAAACAUGCUGCAGUCCAGGCACCAAAGAAAUGAACAUCAGGGGAUGCAAAAUAAAAUAUGAAAAUUGUACGUCGCAAAGCCGAAAGGGUGAUGGGUGGAUGCAUCCUUGCAUCAUAUUUGAUGAAGAUGUCCAAGCAAAAUAACUCAGCAACCAUCACAGCUAAGCUAAGCUCAGUCAAAGUGACAGUAAACCGAACAUGCUGCAGUCCGGCCACCAAAGAAAUGAACAUCAGGGGAUGCAAAAUAAAAUAUGAAAAUUGUACGUGAUGGGUGGAUCAGUGGAUGCAUCCUUGCAUCAUAUUUGAAGAUGUCCAAGCAAAGUAACUCAGCAACCUUCUUUGUCUCAUGAUUAAUCUGGACACUAAUUUCAUUAUUUCAGUGGCAUUUGCUUCAGAAAAGAGAUGCUCUCAACCAUAGUGACUCUAUCCUGCAGUCCAGAGCAAAACAAAAAAUCAAAUUAGCUGCUUAUUAAGGCACUGAAAGAUGAAAUUAAGAAGGUCAAUCUAUUGACAGCUGAAUUAAGAGCUAUGUAGUGUACAUGCUCCAGGAGGACAAAAGUAAAGGAGUGUGAGUAGCUACAGCAGCAUUUUACCAGCACCAAUUUAUUGAACAUAGUUAGUACAUCUCUAUCUACUAAUACAUAGGUCUGUCACUUUGCUUCUCUUGCAACACCAAUGCUUACACCUUCCACUGCAUGUAACAUUCAGAUUACCCUUGCGAUAUUUAAUUUGUAAAACAAAACUAACAUAUAUUCCUUCUAUACCCAAUUGCAAUUACCAGUAGCAAGCAGUUUACAUCCCACAUCAAGCGCAAUCACAAAACUGAACUUAAAGCCCCGAGAUGAAUGAAUCCAUAAGUACAAAUAUUCAAGCGGCGAAUUUUCUUUCCAGAAAAGAAAGAGAUGUUAAUCAGCGGUAAUUUUUGUAAGUGGCAAUUUUUGAAGGGGAGCAUUGGCGCAGCGGCAAAGCUUUGCCUUGUAACAAUGAGGCGACGGGUUCGAGUCCGGGAACCAGCCUCUUGCGGAAAUGUAGGGAAAGGCUCUGUAGAAAAGACCCAAAGUGGUCGGACCAUUCCCCGGACCUGGCGCAAGCGGGAGCUACGUGCACCGGGAUGCCCAUUUUCUAAAAGGAAGACGGUUAUGUAAACAUUUAAAAUUUUGCUUCCAAGUUCUAAGUUUCUAACUCAUGCUAUCUUAAGUGAAUCCAUCCAGCACAUAUUUCAAUUCUGAAAAUAUAACUACACCUGACUGCCAGGAAGAACUUUCUUGGAUCCAGGUUUGUGCAGUUCACGCCCUGCCUCAUAUGAGGGCAGCGGAUCGAUAAGUGGACAGCCCAAUGUGUCAUGCUGCAAACACACGAGAUUUCAUGGAGAAAUCCAACUGUUUUUUUUACCUCUGCAUCACCCAUAACUCGAAGAGAUCCACAUUAAUAGCAGAUGUGAAAACAAAAAUCACAGGCCAAGUAGUCCUGGGAAAACAGGAACUUGUUCAUAAAUGUUCAACUCUAAUAUACCACAAUGGAACAUGGCACCAUAAGAGAGAAAGUUUCCAUGUUCUCUGAGUUCUACUCAACUCGAGAUACCUGAAAGCUUAACAAAAAAACUCGUUUUCUUCGCGUAUAAGUUAUAACAGAACAAUGCAACUGAAAACUAGGUGUACGCUCUGCAUCAUCUCUUAAAGAUCCAAGAGUAUAUAGGCUACAAUGACAAGUCUUUCUGUAGUUUACCAUUCUGCAUAAAAGAACUAAUAAAUGCAUCAUACAUGGACAGUAAGACACUGAAUGUGUGAAAUCAUAAUCAUACAUGAGAACAACCUUCCUUCAGUACACUUCAAAUCCAUACUUUCCUAGGACAACAUAGCAAAGCAUAGAGUACUGAACCAAUAUAGCAGGUGUUCAGUUGUGCUCACCUUUCAUGAUCCCCAGGACAAUAAGACCACAGAAGAACAUGCAAGGUGAAACAACCUUCGUCAACUCAAUUUGGUGAUAGCUGACAAAAGAACAGGAGGAGUCCAUGCACAAGAUUAGUCCAUAUACUGGGUGGUGUACCAGAUAUGGCAGAUGAGAUGAAUACACCUGCAAAUAAGGUGGGGACAUAAGGUAUGAGCUUACUGAAAUAAUAAUGCUGCAAACAACAAGUAUAAAAAAUUGCUUUACAUAAAAGUUCAGCACUACAGGCAAAACAAUGCUUAGAAAUCUAGAGAAUGCUGACCUUAAUUUAAACACAAAUCUAUCAAGAUAAUCAAGAAAUAAAGAUGAACCAAUGUGACAGAUCGAGUGACAUGUAUCUGAGAAUAAAAGGAUUGUUAUUCAAAUAAUAAAAGUACGGCCACUAAACCUGCCACGAUAUCCAUCACAUACAUACCACAAACUGUACAAACAUAAGCAUACUACUUUCAUCUACUCCCUCCGUUCCAAAAUAUAAGACCUUUUAGAGAUUUCACUAUGGACUACGUACGGAGCAAAAUGAGUGAAUCUACACUCUAAAAUAUGUCCAUAUACAUCCGUAUGUAGUCUACAGUGAAAUCUCUAAAAGGUCUUAUAUUUUGGAACGGAGGAAGUAGGAGCUAAUGUAAUAGAGAAAGACAGAUAAAUACAAUAGUUGGCAUGUUGGAGUUCAUGGAAUCGAGAGUGUAACUACAUUGAACCCAGGGAUAGCGACACAUUCAGUAGCUGACAAACAGGAGCAGAAAAAUCAAGAGACAAAUGAAAUCAGGCUAGAAAAAGAAUAUUUUCAGUGAAGCUAGUUUACCUAAGAGGGUUUCUUAAACUGGUGACAUUCCCUUUAUGAAUUAUUUAGCAUUACUUGUGGUCAUCACUAGAAUGAAGCAAGAACAGAUGCUGCCAAUCACCCUGGUGCAUCAGCUGCAGAAAACCCGAAUCUAGAUACCUGUAUUGAACACCAUAUGCACUUCCUGACUCAUGGCACGUUUUCAGGAAGAAGACCACCAUCAUAGCUAAGCUGAGCUAAGCUUACUCACGGUGACAGUAAACCGAACAUGCUGCAGUCCAGGCACGAAAGAAAUGAACAUCAGGAGAUGCAAAAUAAAAUAUGAAACUUGUACGUUGCAAAGCCGAAAUGGUGAUGGGUGGAUGCAUCCUUGCAUCAUAUUUGAUGAAGAUGUCCAAGCAAAAUAACUCAGCAACCGUCUUUGUCUCAAGAUUAAUCUGGGCACCAAUUUCAGUAGCAUUUGCUUCAGAAAAGAGAUGGUCUCAGCCAUAGUGACUCUAUCCUGUAGUCCAGAGCAGAACCCAAAUCAAAUUAGCUGCUUAAGGCAUUGAAAGAUGAAAGCAGGUCAAUCUAUGGGCAGCUGAACUGAAUUAAGAGCUGUGUACUUUACAUAUCCAUUUAUAGUUUUAUAAUCAUUAAUACUCUGAAAGGAAUAAUCCCUAGCAAAAGACUAGAAAGAUCCAAAAGCAAGUGAGUAACUGUUAUUACGAGCAUUACUCUAUUCUCAACAAUAGUGAUCACCGAGAAGCAAGAAUACUGGACAAGAAUUACUGCCAUUUUGGUCCUGUGUUACCCAGACCCAAGCAUUGAAUGCACAUGUCAAUAUCUGCAAAGCAGUAAACAGCAACAGAGAAUAGACUAACUUAACUGCUCAUUGAUGCCAAAACUAGUAGUAACAAAUUUGAAGAUCCAUGGCAAGCAUCAGAAAGCGAGCAUCUGGAAGGAAAAUCAAUCAGCAAGGCAGUGUCUUGGUGUUAGGAGGGGGCUGCAGAUUCAGGUUUUCCCUUCAAAGGAUGCAGUAGGAGUAGUAUACACUAUACCUUGGUUCGCUAGGUUGUCGUUACCAUGGGUUUGGUGGAGAGCGCGUUGGGUACUACUAGCAUGUGAUCUUGGUCUCGAGCGCAUGGCCCAAGAAGGUUGGUGGUCUCCUCUUCGUCUUUCCUCGCCCUCUCUUCCUCCCCUUCCCAUUCCUCCUCAUCUUCCUCUUCCUUCCUGCAGGCAGCGAUGGCAGCUCGAAGGGGCGAGCCUGAGAGGAAGACAGGGGCAAGAAGAUGUAGGGGAGGAGGGCUCGGCCGCCGUGCCCGACGAAGAUGGCCACCACCGACGGAGGCAGCGGGUCCCGGACCGCCGCCCCACGAGACGAGACGAAGAGGGCCGGGAACGGAGGAGGCAGAUCCCUGCUGGUCCGCGGAGCCCGGAGCGCAGUUUGCCGCGCUGAAUAGGGGCGGCCGGGCGGCGGGCGGGGAGGUGGCGAGCGCCGAGCGGCGGCGGUGGAGGUGGCGAGGAGGCGCAGAAGGUUCAGAGCGGAUCCGAUUCGCAAAAGAAUAAAAAAAAAUCAGUGCCGAUCCGACGGACGGGGUCAACCGCGAGCCGAUCCGACGGACGAGACGUGGUCGCGUGAUAGGCCACGCCCACGGGAG